rnacentral:tRNA from 1 species
GGGUCGGUGGCGGAACUAGGUAUACGCGUAUGGUUUAGGACCAUAUCCCGAAAGGGUUGGAGGUUCGAUUCCUCUCCGACCCA